rnacentral:misc_RNA from 1 species
GAUGAAGAACGUAGCGAAAUGCGAUACGUAAUGUGAAUUGCAGAAUUCAGUGAAUCAUCGAGUCUUUGAACGCACAUUGCGCCCCUUGGUAUUCCGAGGGGCAUGCCUGUUCGAGCGUCAUUUCAACCCUCAAGCACAGCUUGGUCUUGGGCUUCGCCGCUAACCCGGCGGGUCUUAAAAUCAGUGGCGGUGCCGUCGGGCCCUGAGCGCAGUAAUCUCUCUCGCUAUAGGGUCCCGGCGGAUGCUGGCCAGUAACCCCCAAUUUUCUAUGGUUGACCUCGGAUCAGGUAGGGAUACCCGCUGAACUUAAGCAUAUCAAUAAGCGGAGGA